rnacentral:sRNA from 1 species
UGCAAGAGUGUAUUCUAUUUUAUACGAU